rnacentral:rRNA from 1 species
AUUGAACGCUGGCGGCAGGCCUAACACAUGCAAGUCGAACGGUAGCACAGAGAGCUUGCUCUCGGGUGACGAGUGGCGGACGGGUGAGUAACGUCUGGGAAACUGCCCGAUGGAGGGGGAUAACUACUGGAAACGGUAGCUAAUACCGCAUAACGUCGCAAGACCAAAGUGGGGGACCUUCGGGCCUCACACCAUCGGAUGUGCCCAGAUGGGAUUAGCUAGUAGGUGGGGUAAUGGCUCACCUAGGCGACGAUCCCUAGCUGGUCUGAGAGGAUGACCAGCCACACUGGAACUGAGACACGGUCCAGACUCCUACGGGAGGCAGCAGUGGGGAAUAUUGCACAAUGGGCGCAAGCCUGAUGCAGCCAUGCCGCGUGUAUGAAGAAGGCCUUCGGGUUGUAAAGUACUUUCAGCGGGGAGGAAGGCGGUGGAGUUAAUAACUUCACCGAUUGACGUUACCCGCAGAAGAAGCACCGGCUAACUACGUGCCAGCAGCCGCCGUAA